GUUCAGUUAGUUUAUUUAAAAUGUCAGUUUGUGGGA
rnacentral:tRNA from 1 species